UUAAAACGAAGGGACUCGAUUCAGGGCCAUGCUAUUUUAAAUGAAAUGACCUUGAUGUUAUCUCACCCGUAGAGAUGAGAGAGACUCUAUUGUGUGGCACAGCUCUAUCACAGUCCUCCCUGUUAGGGCAGAGAAAGCUACAGAACGAAAAAGGCAAGGCCAACUUCUCUUUUCAGAUUCAGCUGGAGCCAGACACUGAGAAAAAUCAAGUCCUCCUGUUGACACAGAGAGCCACGUUGACUGCAGACUAGUGAGAAAACUGAGGCCCAGAAAGAUGCUCCACCACUGGUCUCAUAGCAACGCUUAUGGUGAACUAAUUAGGCAAGCGGAUCUGAGUGCCACGAAUGUCCACGGGGAGCCAAGGCAAAAGCACCCACCACCUUCGGGGACAGCUGCACCCUACCUCUCGCUGUGGGAAGGACCUGGAGGACAGGGAUGGGGAAAUCUUCCCCGGUGAGCAGCACUUUAGCACUUCACCUGGUUGUUCAUGUUGCCUGGAAGGAGAGAUGGCUCGAGGUACAGUUGGCAUCAGUUUGUGGGCUCUGGCUAAUGGUUUGGCUGGUGGUCAGGGAGUUGGAAGAAUAAUGAUUGAAAAACUGAUGACAAGGAGGUCUAGGGAGCAGGUAUGUGGAUAGAUUUCUGUGAGUGGGAGUGAAAGGGU